AUUUAAUAGAAGAGAAAUACCCUACAAUAUUCUUCUAUCAUAUUCUUAAAUAACAACCGAUACCCAAAGCCCCCCUUUUUUUUUGCUGACAACCUGGCAGAACAAUCAUCAACAAUCCCCAAACAACCUCCCUCAUGCCAUUGAAAACCAGAAACCGAUGUUUUCCAUCACCAAAAAACCACCGCUCAACCCACUGCUCCACCAAUAAACAACAAAACAAACCCCAAAUCGCUUCUAUUUUCAUUUACCAAACAUCCCCUCCACCCCCCACCAUUUUUUUUGAGGAAGCAAGGAGCUUCGAGUUCGCACAACGAAGCCAUCAAUGGAGAACAAAACUCAGAAAACUGGAGUGCGCCGCCAGAUCCAAAAUGGUAAACUAGCAACUUUGUCAAAUCUUUCACUUUAAGAUUCACUCGGAAAAGAAAAUAUUCGAGAGCUUGCAGAACAUAUAUCAUAAAGGCGGGACAGCAGAACGAAGUGUUGAUCUUCCUUCACAUGUAGGGCCUUCUGCUAUGGAUGAGUAAAAACCAUUUGUUAUGCAGAUCCUGAUUUUAACAGUUUUGACAAGGAAAAGGAUGAGUCAUUCUUUACGGUAGGGAAUGUAUUGGAUGCCUAUGAUACCUUGGAUUCCAUCCAUAGAUCUAUGCAAUCAUUAGGAAGAUUUCUUCUCCUGAAAUUGAAUUGUGUAUAACAUGGUCAUAUCUAGAGCUGCUCAAUGAAGAGGAAAUCAGGGCUUUGCAGCGUCUUGUGCUAGGUGUAGACUAGGAAACGCGGAAGACAUAGAAGAUCAUCCUAUGCGGUCACAUUUGAUAUAUGCCAUGAAUGGAAACAACUACGAUGUAAUAAACAUAUUUCCAUUGGAAGGAGAAACUUGGGUCCUCAUUAAAAA